GGAAACCGUGUGUGUUAGUGACACUACACCCCCCUCCCUAUAGGUGUGACUGGGAAACCGUGUGUGUUAGUGACACUACACCCCCCUCCCUAUAGGUGUGACUGGGAAACCGUGUGUGUUAGUGACACUACACCCCCCUCCCUAUAGGUGUGACUGGGAAACCAUGUGUGUUAGUGACACUACACCCCACUAUAGGUGUGACUGGGAAACCAUGUGUGUUAGUGACACUACACCCCACUAUAGGUGUGACUGGGAAACCAUGUGUGUUAGUGACACUACACCCCACUAUAGGUGUGACUGGGAAACCAUGUGUGUUAGUGACACUACACCCCACUAUAGGUGUGACUGGGAAACCAUGUGUGUUAGUGACACUACACCCCCCUCCCUAUAGGUGUGACUGGGAAACCGUGUGUGUUAGUGACACUACACCCCCCUCCCUAUAGGUGUGACUGGGAAACCGUGUGUGUUAGUGACACUACACCCCCCUCCCUAUAGGUGUGACUGGGAAACCAUGUGUGUUAGUGACACUACACCCCACUAUAGGUGUGACUGGGAAACCAUGUGUGUUAGUGACACUACACCCCACUAUAGGUGUGACUGGGAAACCAUGUGUGUUAGUGACACUACACCCCACUAUAGGUGUGACUGGGAAACCAUGUGUGUUAGUGACACUACACCCCACUAUAGGUGUGACUGGGAAACCAUGUGUGUUAGUGACACUACACCCCCCUCCCUAUAGGUGUGACUGGGAAACCGUGUGUGUUAGUGACACUACACCCCCCCUCCCUAUAGGUGUGACUGGGAAACCAUGUGUGUUAGUGACACUACACCCCCCUCCCUAUAGGUGUGACUGGGAAACCGUGUGUGUUAGUGACACUACACCCCCCUCCCUAUAGGUGUGACUGGGAAACCGUGUGUGUUAGUGACACUACACCCCCCUCCCUAUAGGUGUGACUGGGAAACCGUGUGUGUUAGUGACACUACACCCCCCUCCCUAUAGGUGUGACUGGGAAACCGUGUGUGUUAGUGACACCACACCCCACUAUAGGUGUGACUGGGAAACCAUGUGUGUUAGUGACACCACACCCCACUAUAGGUGUGACUGGGAAACCAUGUGUGUUAGUGACACUUCACCCCCCUCCCUAUAGGUGUGACUGGGAAACCGUGUGUGUUAGUGACACUUCACCCCCCUCCCUAUAGGUGUGACUGGGAAACCAUGUGUGUUAGUGACACUACACCCCUCCCCCUC